GUCCCCAGUCUCCCUUGGCGCCCCGAACCCUCCUCCUGAUGCUCUCGGGGGCCCUGGCCCUGACUGAGACCUGAGCAGGCUCCCACCCCAUGAGGUAUUUGAGCACCCCCGCUUCAUCUCCGUGGACUACCUGGACUACACGCAGAUCGCGCGGUUCGACAGCGACGCCUCGAGUCCGAGGAUGGAGCCGCGGGCGCCGUGGAUGGAGAAGGAGGGGCCGGAGUAUUGGGACCCGGGGACACGGA